GAGAUUGAGGACCCGAAAAGAUGACCUGCCUAUUUCAUUUCAUUCGAAUUUCCUCUCUUUCCCUAUAUUCCACACCAACUUAGCCUCCGCCUAGAGAGAGGAAGCUUCCACCUUUCAAAUCAAACUCGGAGAAAUCAAGGACGACGAAAUGAAGAAAUUGAAGAGGACGAGACGUUUUGGAUUAUGAGGUUAAUUGAUCAGCUUGAUAGGUGACUAGAGCUAGCUAGCGAGAAGUAUCCCACAGGCCAUUAUACUCUAGUAAAAUAUGAUCCUGCAUUCAUAAUGCAUUUGCUUCAAAGUGUAUCAGACUCAGCCGCCAUUCUUCAACUGCGUUACUGAUUUUGUUUCAGGUUUUCUCAUUUAGAGGAAUAAGAAACGUCUUUUUCUUUGUUCCUUCUAUUUGUUCAGUUUAUUUGGUUGCAUUUUUUUAUUUACUUUGCUGUUCAAUUUAUGUGUUCCAUAUUGAUUUUGAAUAUCCUUUUGGACUUAUUUUGGCACAAUUUCUCAUCCAUAUUUUAAAAGUGAAAGUAAGUAUAAAGCAUUAAGUUUCACUAUACACAAGCAAGUCCAGCUUUUAUUUGAUUGGAUGGGACUUGCACGACUUUGGGGUGGUUCAAUGCCAAUUAUUCAACAUGCUUUGCAGGCAGUUAAGGAAGGUGGUAAGCAUGUAUCAUUUAUAGACAAUUAUGAAAACAUGUAUCAAGAUGCAGAGCAUAAGUGGGUAAGUGAGGUUAAACGAGUGAGACAUGGGCUUGCUUGAGAGCUGGGGAAGUUUCUUCUUGGAAUACACAGUUAUUACACUGUCAGCAUACUUAAAGAUCACAAGUUGGUAGAUUUGGCCAAAUGACAUAUGAUGAUCAGCUGACU